AGGCUUGGUCCCAGCCUUCUUAUUAGCCCUCAAUAAACUUACACAUGCAAGCAUCCACAUCCCGGUGAAAAUGCCCUUCAAGUUGACUAAACUAAAAGGAGCUGGUAUCAAGCACACACCUGUAGCUGAUGACAUCUUGCUUAGCCACACCCCCACGGGAAACAGCAGUGAUGAGAAUUAAGCCAUGAAUGAAAGUUUGACUAAGUUAUGUUGAUUAGAGUUGGUAAAUUUCGUGCCAGCCACCGCGGUCACACGAUUAACCCAAGUUAAUAAGAACACGGCGUAAAGAGUGUCAAAGCAUCCUACCAAAUACAGUUAAGUUCUAAUUAAGCCGUAAAAAGCCACAAUUAUAAUAAAAAUAAAUGACGAAAGUAACUCUACGACCGCUGAUACACGAUAGCUAAGGCCCAAACUGGGAUUAGAUACCCCACUAUGCUUAGCCCUAAACACAAAUAAUUACACAAACAAAAUUAUUCGCCAGAGUACUACUAGCAACAGCCUAAAACUCAAAGGACUUGGCGGUGCUUUACACCCUUCUAGAGGAGCCUGUUCUGUAAUCGAUAAACCCCGAUAAACCUUACCAAUCCUUGCUAAUACAGUCUAUAUACCGCCAUCUUCAGCAAACCCUAACAAAGGAACAAAAGUAAGCAAAACCAUACCACAUAAAAACGUUAGGUCAAGGUGUAACCUAUGGAAUGGGAAGAAAUGGGCUACAUUUUCUACCUUAAGAAAACCCAAUACGAAAGUUAUUAUGAAACUAAUAACCAAAGGAGGAUUUAGUAGUAAAUUAAGAAUAGAGUGCUUAGUUGAAUUAGGCCAUGGAGCACGCACACACCGCCCGUCACCCUCCUCAAGUAAACACGAUACACUUAAACUUAUUUACACGUAUUAACCAUAUGAGAGGAGACAAGUCGUAACAAGGUAAGCAUACUGGAAAGUGUGCUUGGACAAAU
rnacentral:ncRNA from 1 species